CCCAUGGGUACAUGAAGGACUGAAAGUGGAAAAGGAAAACGGAAGUGCAAAGAUAAAGUUAGAGAACUGUGGUGGCAUGCUGGAGUAAAUAACGAGCGACCAGCCAAUGAAAAUAGUUAGAGACACCUCCGAACAAAUAGCGACUUAAAAUCUCAUUGUUGCCAAGGGUGGUUGAGACGUAGAUUGAGGUGUUCGCAUACUCCCAUCUUUUGGGCAGGUACUUUGACAUUGAGUAGUCAUAUCUCCUAUCCAGAGUCACUCCGCUGACGGUCAAGGUCUAAUCAUGUGUAUAUGAAUACUUGGUGUGAAAUAUUAAGAAUC